UACGUAGGGGGCAAGCGUUGUCCGGAAUUAUUGGGCGUAAAGAGCGUGUAGGCGGUCCGGUAAGUCAGCUGUGAAAGUCAAGGGCUCAACCCUUGAAUGCCGGUUGAUACUGUCGGGCUAGAGUCCGGAAGGGGCGAGUGGAAUUCCUGGUGUAGCGGUGAAAUGCGCAGAUAUCAGGAAGAACACCCGUGGCGAAGGCGGCUCUCUGGUACGUGACUGACGCUGAGACGCGAAAGCGUGGGGAGCAAACAGG
rnacentral:rRNA from 1 species